AUUUCCGGGGCUAAAACGUACUACCGAAGCUACGGCAUCAUUUAUGAUGGGUAGGGGAGCUUCGUAUGCAGGCUGAAGCAUGACCGUAAGGACAUGUGGACAGUAUACGAGUGAGAAUGUUGGCAUGAGUAGCGAGACGUGGGUGAGAAUCCCACGGGCCGUAAACCCAAGGUUUCCAGGGGAAGGUUCGUCCGCCCUGGGUUAGUCGGGACCUAAGCCGAGGCCGAAAGGCGUAGGUGAUGGACAACAGGUUGAUAUUCCUGUACCGCCAAUAAGCGUUUGAGAGAUGGAGUGACACAGUAGGAUAAGCUAACCGUACUGUUGGUUAUGUACGGCUAAGCAUUGAGGCAGUCUAAAUAGGCAAAUCCGUUUAGACAAUGCUAGGAUGUGAUGGGGAAGCCCUUCGGGGCGAAGUAGCUGAUUUCACACUGUCAAGAAAAGCUUCUAUCGAGUUUAAAGGCGCCCGUACCGUAAACCGACACAGGUGGGUGAGGAGAGUAUCCUAAGGCCAGCGAGAGAACUAUUGUUAAGGAACUCGGCAAAAUGACCCCGUAACUUAGGGAGAAGGGGUGCCUGUCUAUGACAGGCCGCAGAGAAUAGGCCCAAGCGACUGUUUACCAAAAACACAGGUUUCUGCUAAGUCGCAAGACGAUGUAUAGGAGCUGACGCCUGCCCGGUGCUGGAAGGUUAAGGGGAUCUGUUAGAGCAAUCGAAGCAGUGAACUUAAGCCCCAGUAAACGGCGGCCGUAACUAUAACGGUCCUAAGGUAGCGAAAUUCCUUGUCGGGUAAGUUCCGACCCGCACGAAAGGCGUAACGAUUUGGGCACUGUCUCAACAAUAGACUCGGUGAAAUUGUAAUCCCGGUGAAGAUGCCGGGUACCUGCGACAGGACGGAAAGACCCCAUGGAGCUUUACUGUAGCUUGACGUUGGGUCUUGGUACUACAUGUACAGGAUAGGUGGGAGACUAUGAAGCAUGGACGCCAGUCUGUGUGGAGUCAUCCUUGGGAUACCACCCUUGUAGUACUGGGAUCCUAACCAUAGGCCUUGAAUCAGGUCUUGGAACACCGUCAGGUGGGCAGUUUGACUGGGGCGGUCGCCUCCUAAAAAGUAACGGAGGCGCUCAAAGGUUUCCUCAGCACGGUCGGAAAUCGUGCGAAGAGUGUAAAGGCAAAAGGAAGCUUGAUUGCAAGACAUACAGGUCGAGCAAGGACGAAAGUCGGACUUAGUGAUCCGGUGGUACCGCAUGGAAGGGCCAUCGCUCAACGGAUAAAAGCUACCCUGGGGAUAACAGGCUUAUCUCCCCCAAGAGUCCACAUCGACGGGGAGGUUUGGCACCUCGAUGUCGGCUCAUCACAUCCUGGGGCUGUAGUAGGUCCCAAGGGUUGGGCUGUUCGCCCAUUAAAGUGGUACGCGAGCUGGGUUCAGAACGUCGUGAGACAGUUCGGUCCCUAUCCGUCGCAGGCGUAGGAAAUUUGAGAAGACCUGUCCUUAGUACGAGAGGACCGGGAUGGACGUACCUCUGGUGUACCAGUUGUUCUGCCAAGGGCAUGGCUGGGUAGCUAUGUACGGAAUGGAUAAGCGCUGAAAGCAUCUAAGCGCGAAGCCAACUUCAAGAUAAGAUUUCCCACCGUAAGGGUAAGACCCCAGGAAGACUACCUGGUUGAUAGGUCGAAGGUGUAAGUGCAGUAAUGUAUUUAGCUUAUCGAUACUAAUAGGUCGAGGACUUGACCAA
rnacentral:rRNA from 1 species